rnacentral:rRNA from 1 species
UACGUAGGGGGCAAGCGUUGUCCGGAAUUAUUGGGCGUAAAGAGCGUGUAGGCGGCCAGAUAAGUCCGCUGUGAAAUCUCGAGGCUCAACUUCGAGCUGUCGGUGGAAACUAUCUGGCUAGAGUCCGGAAGAGGAGAGUGGAAUUCCUGGUGUAGCGGUGAAAUGCGCAGAUAUCAGGAAGAACACCUAUGGCGAAGGCAGCUCUCUGGGACGGUACUGACGCUGAGACGCGAAAGCGUGGGGAGCGAACAGG